GUUUUUGUUAUUUUAUUUAAAAAAGAGAAGCAGUUGAUAAAAGGAAAGCAAACAAGUGUAGGUGGCAGUGUGGUGUCCCCUGGCCCCCCACGGUGGAAACACCACAGCCUCCCUGUCUUACUCAGUCUUUCAAAGACAAAUAACUUAAAACAACAGAGGAAACAGGGUUAUGGAUACAAGACCUGGUAUGCGCUUCAUGAUUAUUAAACUGGAUUAUUCCAGGUUUUGGUAUCGCACGUAUAUUUACCCAGCUUCAGUAUAAUUUACACAUAAUCCCUAUCAAUAUAAACUCUUCACAGGGCCGUGGUGGGGCACUGUGUGUGCUUUUGUGUGUGUGUAUGUGUCUGUGUAUGCAUGCAUGUAUUUGUAUGUGUGUGUGCAUUUGUGUGUGUAUAUGUGCAUGUGUGUGUUUGGAGCAGUGUGUUUGUGUUGAUGGGAACAGCCUGCUCUAUAUAUAGAGGGAGACAGGGAGGUCUGACACUGCAACGUAAAGGACUGGAGACCGGGGCACACACUGGCUUCAAAGUAACUGUGAACUGGGUCACAGGAAGAGCGCGCCAGAAGUUAUUCUGGAGGUACUUUCCUAUUCUGACAUGUAAUUACGCAAACUUCUUGUCUAAAUGGGUUACUUGUUUUAUAUCAUUAUUUCAUGUCUAUGGAGCAGAAUCCUUUUCUAAAUUGGGUUAGUGAAGUUAACCACGUGUAACAUUAGUGAUUUGAAGAAUUAUUAAUGCAUGUGUGAUAUGUGUUUAUAGUAAUAUAUUUGUUUUUUGUAAUAGUAUUACCACGUCCAGACAGGGUGAUGGUGAGCUGAGUAUCAUUUGAUGCAGGAGUUAUGUCCUACGUUUCUCUAUGAAAGUAAUAUCUGAUGUGAACUGCACCAUUUAAUUAAUUUGGAAACAAAGCAAAACCCUGCAAAAUCAAUAGGCAGUACCAAGAGAGAAGAGUGGGAAAUGCUUUGUGUUGAGUGGGAGAUUACACUGUAGAAAAUAAGACAUGGGGGAUGUUCUGAUGUAUUGGACCGCUAUAACACAACACAACGGUAACAACAUAUUCUGCUUCAUGAAAUAUUGCAUGGUACAGAUUUGCUCAGAGUAAAUGUGUAUCUAUUGCAAUUGCAAUAGAUACCCUCAAUCACAAUUAGCCAUUCCGGUUGGCCAAUGGAAUCAUCCCUGUGAUAUUUAGUACCGCACCACACCAAACUAAUGUCCUACUUGGCCCUGGGUUUGAUCCUCAGAGUUUACAUUUUACUGGCUUUAUAAUGACAGUGUGUGGAUCCAGAUAACAUACAGAAGGUACAGCAGUCUGCAGACCCUAUUCACGUGGAACCAUCUGAAAUGUAUCUCCCUGUAAAAAUAAAAACAAAUACCCUCCCCCUGUUUACCUGAGAGAGGCAACUCUAAUACAAAACCUGUUCAAAACAACAGAUUCAAAAAGGCACACAUCAACAAAAUACAAAGACCUAUAUAUUAAUAGUACAUCAGUAAUUGAAGCGGGUUUAACAGCAUGAACGGCACAGAGUUUUGCAGUUCAUUUGGGCAGAAGAGAUGACUCUUCAGGGAAUAGAGGAAUCUGGCAGGUAGAAAGAGAAGCAGCUGAGAUUUCUCUCCAUUUCUCU
ensembl:lncRNA